rnacentral:rRNA from 1 species
GACGAACGCUGGCGGCGCGCUUAACACAUGCAAGUCGAGCGAAGCGGCGGACGGGUGAGUAACACGUGAGUAACCUGCCUUAGACAUUGGGAUAGCCUCGGGAAACCGGGAUUAAUACCAAAUGGUCUAAGAUGGACUCGCGUACCAUUAGCUAGUUGGUGGGUAACGGCUCACGAAGGCGACGAUGGGUAGCCGGCAUGGGAGGAUGGACGGGCACAUUGGAACUGGGAAACGGUCGAAACUCUGCGGGAGGGGGCAAUGGGGAAUAUUGCACAAUGGAGGGAAGUCUGAUGCAGCGAGGCCGCGUGAACGAAGAAGGCUUUCGGGUCGUAAAGUGCUUUUAUAUGGGAAGCGGUACCAAAAGAAAAAGCCCCGGCUAACUACGUGCCAGCAGCCGCGGUAAUAC